rnacentral:tRNA from 1 species
CGCGGGGUGGUAGCAGUGGGUAGCUCGCCAGCCUCAUAAGCUGGAGGUCGCAGGUUCGAGUCCUGCCCCCGUAA